AUGGUGCUCGGCGGCUGCGGCAACGGAGGUGAUGGUGCGCGAGCCAACCAGUUCAAUGGAGGCAGGAGCACGGGGCAGCGGCAGCAGCAUGGAGGGCGUCCUCUUGGUUGGGAAGGUAAUGGAAAUGCAAAUAGGAGUGGUAGUGGCAACCAUGAUGCAAAUGCAAAUGAUUCCCAAAAAUCUUGGAAAGGAAUUAAAGAUAAUAACUUGUAUGAUCCUUGGAACCAUGCAUGGCCGUAUUACGGGGGUUUUGAUUGUGUGUACUGCAGCCUAAAGCACAAAGGUGGAGGUGCAACCCGUGUUGCGGAGCACCUUGGUGGUAUUGUAGGUAAUGUGAGGAGCUGCCCCAAUGUGCCAAGAAAUGUGAGAGAUGCAAUGAGAGAGUGCCGGGAUGAAUCAAAGAGGAAGAAAAGAGACAAACAAAAUAGUAGGCUGAGAACUGAAAGAAAUAUUAUGGAAGGGUUGUAUCAAAAAGGAGGGGUGAUUAACAUACUAGAUGAUGAUGAAGAAGAAAUAUAG
rnacentral:rRNA from 1 species